rnacentral:rRNA from 1 species
CAGUAGCCGCGGGAAUACGAAGGGGGCUAGCGUUGCUCGGAAUGACUGGGCGUAAAGGGCGCGUAGGCGGCGAUCAAAGUCAGGCGUGAAAUUCCUGGGCUCAACCUGGGGGCUGCGUUUGAUACUUGAUUGCUAGAGUGGGGAAGAGGGUCGUGGAAUUCCCAGUGUAGAGGUGAAAUUCGUAGAUAUUGGGAAGAACACCGGUGGCGAAGGCGGCGACCUGGUCCUUGACUGACGCUGAGGCGCGAAAGCGUGGGGAGCAAACAGGAUUAGAUACCCCAGUAGUCCCUGUCUCUUAUAC